ACGGGUGAGUAACACGUGAGUAACCUGCCCUUGACUCUGGGAUAAGCCUGGGAAACUGGGUCUAAUACCGGAUAUGACUCCUCAUCGCAUGGUGGGGGGUGGAAAGCUUUUGUGGUUUUGGAUGGACUCGCGGCCUAUCAGCUUGCUGGUGGGGUAAUGGCCUACCAAGGCGACGACGGGUAGCCGGCCUGAGAGGGUGACCGGCCACACUGGGACUGAGACACGGCCCAGACUCCUACGGGAGGCAGCAGUGGGGAAUAUUGCACAAUGGGCGCAAGCCUGAUGCAGCGACGCCGCGUGAGGGAUGACGGCCUUCGGGUUGUAAACCUCUUUCAGUAGGGAAGAAGCGAAAGUGACGGUACCUGCAGAAGAAGCGCCGGCUAACUACGUGCCAGCAGCCGCGGUAAUACGUAGGGCGCAAGCGUUAUCCGGAAUUAUUGGGCGUAAAGAGCUCGUAGGCGGUUUGUCGCGUCUGCUGUGAAAGACCGGGGCUCAACUCCGGUUCUGCAGUGGGUACGGGCAGACUAGAGUGCAGUAGGGGAGACUGGAAUUCCUGGUGUAGCGGUGAAAUGCGCAGA
rnacentral:rRNA from 1 species